GUCAGAAAAAAGUUGAAAAUGGAAACGUUUUAAAAGUGUAAAAGCGAAGGCACCAAUUAGAUUGUCAGAAAGUCAGAGAGAACCGUUGGGUACACGUGGCAAACGAGCCAUAAACUCAUAGUUUAGUAGAAUUUCAUUUCAUAUUUUAAUAAAUACAAAUUGUUUUAAAAAAAUUAUAAUAAAAAAAGUUACGGUUUAAGAAUGAGCGUUAGAUCCGGUAGUUGAAAUGAACAUUUGGCUGAAAUUUGAGGUGCAUUUGGAGCAUGAGGGUGAGAUAGUGUAAAGCAUGAGCAUUAAGCGCCAAGUUUCUAUAAAUAUCCCACCCCUUCCGCUUCCUUCUAGUUUCAUUUAACGUUGUUACCAUAUAUACAUAGAGAUAUUGUUUUUGUUUUUGUUUUUGUUUUUGUUAUUCUCUUUAGGUAACGAGGAAGAAGACUAUUUCGGCUUCACUUAGCUGAGGAAGCGUGUGAUACAAAUCAGGAAAGGAAGUUGGAGUGUGAUAAGAUCAGUUAGGAGUUUAUAUUUCAGACUGAAAGAAAUGGAGGUACAAGCAUUGAUUUUGCUACUUAUGCUCAAGUUUGCCUCUUGUGAAGUUUGGAUGAGAUGAGAAUUAUGUGGCUGUAAAGAGUCAUCAGAUUCAGACCUGUGUGUAAUCCGCACCGAUGUCGGAAGAAUCGAAGAAUUUGAGCGAUCCAGACACAACAUGGAAAGCUGAACAAGUAUGCACUAUGCAAUAUCAAAAUCCAAUUUAGUUCGUGUCUUCCACUAAAUCAUCUAUGCAUGUGUCACAGUGGCAUUGAUUGACCAAAUGAAAGGGAACUUGCCAAGAGGUACUUACAUUACCAGCAUAAUCUAUCUGUCAAAUCUGCAAUUUCCCUUUAAAUUGUAUUGAAAAUGAUGUUUACACUGUAUUUUAAAGUAAAUUUUAAUCUAAAAUGCAUGUAUAGUGCAAUCUCCCUUUUUUUUGUGAUCUAGGUAGAUGUAAGGUUGUAUUAUGAAUUUCUGAUAUUAUAAUGCUUGGGGUUUGUAAGCUUUAUUUUAUCUCUUGUUUUUUCUUCUUUUAUCACUUUUGUACUACUUACAGUUAA